GUGAGGAAUAUUGCGCAAUGGAGGCAACUCUGACGCAGCCAUGCCGCGUGCAGGAAGAAGGCGCUACGCGUUGUAAACUGCUUUUAACCGGGAAGAAACCCCAGGACGUGUCCUGGGUUGACGGUACCGGAGGAAUAAGCACCGGCUAACUUCGUGCCAGCAGCCGCGGUAAUACGAAGGGUGCAAGCGUUAUCCGGAUUCAUUGGGUUUAAAGGGUGCGUAGGCGGAGCGUUAAGUCAGUGGUGAAAUCCUGCAGCUUAACUGUAGACUUGCCAUUGAUACUGGCGCUCUUGAGUGCGCUUGAAGUGGGCGGAAUGUGCCGUGUAGCGGGGAAAUGCUUAGAUAUGGCACAGAACACCAAUUGCGAAGGCAGCUCACUAAGGCGAUACUGACGCUGAGGCACGAAAGCGUGGGGAUCGAACAGGAUUAGAAACCCCGGUAGUCC
rnacentral:rRNA from 1 species